rnacentral:rRNA from 1 species
CCUACGGGAGGCAGCAGUAGGGAAUAUUGCUCAAUGGGCGAAAGCCUGAAGCAGCAACGUAGCGUGGAGGAUGAAGGUUUUCGGGUUGUAAACUCCUUUUGUUAGAGGAGAUAAUGACGGUAUCUGACGAAUAAGCACCGUCUAACUCCGUGCAAGCAGCGGCGGUAAUACGGAGGGUGCAAGCGUUACUCGGAAUCACUGGGCGUAAAGAGCGCGUAGGCGGGAUAGUAAGUCAGAUGUGAAAUCCUAUGGCUUAACCAUAGAACUGCAAUUGAAACUGUUAUUCUAGAGUAUGGGAGAGGUAGGUGGAAUGCGUGGUGUAGCGGUAAAAUCCGUAGAGAUCAAGAGGAAUACUCAUUGCGAAGGCGACAUGCUAGAACAUAACUGACGCUGAGGCGCGAAAGCGUGGGGAUCGAACAGGAUUAGAUACCCGUGUAGUC